AAAAAAAAAAACUAUUCUAAACUUUAAUAUCCCACGACAAACACGUGAUACGAGAUACGACACGACUCGACUCAAACAGUUUCAAAAAAAGAGAACGGAUACAAGAUGAAUAAUAAUAUAUAUUUAAUAUGUAUAAAAUAUUAAUUUUAUUAAAAUAUUAUUAUAUUUUAAUACGAAUCAAAGUAAAUAAAAUUUUAAAAGAGUUGUUUUUUUAAAAGAGUUGUUUGGAUAGU
rnacentral:lncRNA from 1 species